CUGGAAGAGCGGAAAGAGCAGUCAGUGCUCUUAACCACCGAGCCAUGUCUCCAGCCUGAAUUCAUCAGUUUGAAGUGAGAAAAUGAGUUCAUGUCAGAAAAGGCAAAAUAAAAAAUAAUAAAGAGAAGAAGAGUUUCUGGCUAAGGAGAACUUCCCACCAAGAAAAGCUGGGUAAAUAUGUUCCUUUGUACCGAGAUUGUCAAUCUUGUUUAAAACUUGAUUGGAUCUGUAUUGAACUAAAAGACAAAAUUUUCUGAGUUCCUGUGGGCAUUUACAGGAAAGACCAUUUGAAAGGAGAAGACCCUCUGCUUGAGUCUAGAGUGGAUAGUACCUUUCAGCUUGUGGCCCAGAGAUGAAGAGGUUUGAGGAAAGAUACUCCUGUGGAAUGUGAACUCCUAACCCACAAGAGUGGUGGGUGAAGUGUAUGCUGGCAGUAGAAAGAGAAAAUCAAGGGCUUUGUACUACACUUGGACCAGUAUUCCCUGCAAGGAGUCGAUGUGCACAAAGGAGGCUGUCUGACUGUAGUGCAGUCUGUGAACCCUUACGUAGCUCCCACAGUUUCAGGUGAAGUCAAUGCACUGUGUUCUGUUUCAUAUUCUCAGACUCCAGGAUAGAAUUAAGGUAACAAGAUGCAAAUCAGAAUUGCAUCAGAGGAGGCCUCAGUGUGUAUCAUUCUCAUCAGCAAUGUAAGAUUUCAAGGAAUAUGAAAACCAAAGAAAGAUGACACCGUCGAAUGAGCAAUAUCUAUUUCAGUGCUGAAUGACAAGAGAUAAGCACAGUAUGCAGCACUGUAAUUACCUCUAUUUCUAGAGAAUUAUCUGGCCUCCAGAUUCUCUGAGAUGCUUGGCAAGUAACAGCUAUUCUCACUGCAAAGUGUGACAGGUAAUAUGCUGUGUCUGGUUUUGCAUGAGCUACAGAAAUCGUCUCCGAAAGUAUAAUUUUCCUUAAUUUUUAAAAA
rnacentral:sRNA from 1 species